UACGUAGGGGGCUAGCGUUGUCCGGAUUUAUUGGGCGUAAAGAGCGUGUAGGCGGCCAGAUAGGUCCGUUGUGAAAACCCGAGGCUUAACCUCGGGACGUCGAUGGAAACCAUCUGGCUAGAGUCCGGAAGAGGAGAGUGGAAUUCCUGGUGUAGCGGUGAAAUGCGCAGAUAUCAGGAAGAACACCCGUGGCGAAGGCGGCUCUCUGGGACGGUACUGACGCUGAGACGCGAAAGCUAGGGGAGCAAACGGG
rnacentral:rRNA from 1 species